rnacentral:lncRNA from 10 species
UUAAAAAUAAUUCAAAACAGGUUUUUAAUUUUCCCAUUUCUCUCGGUUUAUAAUAGGUAAUUGACAUAAAGGGGCAAAUACAGUGACUUCCACAAAACAUGUUGACCUCAAGAACACAUUACGGUAGCUUCGAUCAGAGACCAGGUAGAUACGUAUGAGGUUGAUGGCACUGGAAACUAGAAUGCUGCUUCAGUGCUACCCACGUUCUCCAUAAGUGUCCUAAUCAGUAGUGGCCUUUUUUUGCUAUAUUCUCUUUAAUAAUACAUACAGAAGGAUUACUCAAUAAAUUUUAAAUACAUAAAAUGCAACAAUUUAAAUGUACAUGUUUUUAAAUAGAUGUAUAUCGAUGUACAUAAGUAAAACUAUCACCCACAUCAAGAUCUGGAACAUAUAUUUUAUAUAUUAAUGUCAUAUUAUUUACCAUAUAGUUUGUUAAAUGUUACAUCCUAUAUUGUAUGUUUUACAUAAAAUGUCUUAUGUUUAGAUUUUAAGAAAAAUGUUGCCAUUUCUAUGAUUUAUAGUUUCCAUUAUCUUUAAACUCUUUGAUCAUUUGUUUUAUACAAAUGUAUCUCAGGUUAGAGAUUGAUUUUUGACCCAAUUUCAAUUGUAAUAGGGCUAUUUAACCAGUUUAUAGGUCAUCUGUACUGUCAAUCUACUUUUUGCUAAUUUUAGUGUCUUUUUGCUAUUUUUCUUUUUACCACUUCUUUUCCAAACAUUGGAAUGUAUAUAUUCUAUUUUUGUAGUUAACACUUAUUUCCAUGUCAAAUUUACUUGGAACUAUAUGAUUUACUUGGAACUAUAUGAUGCAGUAACUACUGUUUUUCCCCAUGCAUCAUGUACAGAAAAUGAGGAUGUAUCCACCCCCUCCCAAACCAGUGAUUUGGAAGUUUCUUUACAGUAUCAGUAGUAACAUGGACAAACUUGUUAUUUUUUUCCUGCUAUACUUAAAAAUAAGGGAAAUAAAACUGUACUGUUUUCCAAUUGUCAGAUUUGACAUUUAGAAUGUUAUUUGUCAAAUCUACAGUGACAAAGCCCUUUUACUUAGGUUUAGCUUAAGAACAUGCGUAUUUGUAUCUACAAUACUACAUGCUAAAAAUAAAACAGUAUUUGUCCAAUAUAUUGAACAUGUGGUAUGCCCUUCCAGUUUAAACGUAAACUGAAAUUUUACACCCAGCUUAUGUUUCUAUUUUUGUAUUUAGUUUUAAUGCCCUAUACAUAACAAUUUAAACUUAAUGCUCCUUAACUAGUUUUAAUGCAUACCAUCAUUCAGUAAUUCGAUUUUGUGGCCAAUCCAGCGUGCGCCCUUCUGUUAACUCUCUCAACUUCCUGGUAUUUUCCAAGCGCUCUAAUAGUACCCUCUUUAUCAUCGCGCAUAGGUGUUUAAGCUCCUGUAUUAUAUGAUUCUCAAUCCUUCUUAUAUCUUGUUUCCAUCUCUAUAUCCGUUUCAAGAGGAGGCAUUUUCUCGAUUAUUUAGCGCUGCUCCUUUUUUCUCAGGGGCGGUAUUACGAC